GAGUUUGAUCGUGGCUCAGAACGAACGCUGGCGGCAGGCUUAACACAUGCAAGUCGAACGAACGUAGCAAUACGUUAGUGGCGCACGGGUGAGUAACGCGUGGAUAUCUGCCUUUUGGUUCGGGAUAACCUUGGGAAACUAGGGCUAAUACCGAAUGGUUCCUACGGGAUAAAGAUUUAUCGCCAAAAGAUGAGUCCGCGUCCGAUUAGCUAGUUGGUGUGGUAAUGGCGCACCAAGGCGACGAUCGGUAGCUGGUCUGAGAGGACGAUCAGCCACACUGGGACUGAGACACGGCCCAGACUCCUACGGGAGGCAGCAGUGGGGAAUAUUGGACAAUGGGGGCGAACCCUCGAUCCAGCCAUGCCGCCGUGAGUGAUGAAGG
rnacentral:rRNA from 1 species